GGCGAACGCUGGCGGCGUGCCUAAUACAUGCAAGUUGAGCGCUGAAGGUUGGUACUUGUACCAACUGGAUGAGCAGCGCACGGGUGAGUAACGCGUGGGGAAUCUGCCUUUGAGCGGGGGACAACAUUUGGAAACGAAUGCUAAUACCGCAUAAAAACUUUAAACACAAGUUUUAAGUUUGAAAGAUGCAAUUGCAUCACUCAAAGAUGAUCCCGCGUUGUAUUAGCUAGUUGGUGAGGUAAAGGCUCACCAAGGCGAUGAUACAUAGCCGACCUGAGAGGGUGAUCGGCCACAUUGGGACGGAGACACGGCCCAAACUCCUACAGGAGGCAGCAGUAGGGAAUCUUCGGCAAUGGACGAAAGUCUGACCGAGCAACGCCGCGUGAGUGAAGAAGGUUGUCGGAUCGUAAAACUCUGUUGGUAGGGAAGAACGUGGGUGAGAGUGGAAAGCUCAUCAAGUGACGGUAACUACCCAGAAAGGGACGGCUAACUACGUG
rnacentral:rRNA from 1 species